CCUACGGGAGGCAGCAGUAGGGAAUAUUGCUCAAUGGGGGAAACCCUGAAGCAGCAAAGCCGCGUGGAGGAUGAAGGUUUUCGGAUUGUAAACUCCUUUUGUUAGAGAAGAUAAUGACGGUAUCUAACGAAUAAGCACCGGCUAACUCCGUGCCAGCAGCCGCGGUAAUACGGAGGGCGUAAGCGUUACGCGGAAUCACUGGGCGUAAAGAGCGCGUAGGCGGGUUAGCAAGUCAGAUGUGAAAUCCUAGGGCUUAACCCUAGAACUGCAUUUGAUACUGUUAUUCUAGAGUUUGGGCGCGGUAGGUGGAAUUCUUGGUGUAGAGGUGAAAUCCGUAGAGAUCAAGAAGAAUACUCAUUGCGAAGGCGACCUACUGGAACAUUACUGACGCUCAUGCACGAAAGCGUGGGGAGCAAACAGGAUUAGAUACCCUUGUAGUC
rnacentral:rRNA from 1 species